rnacentral:rRNA from 1 species
AUUGAACGCUGGCGGAAUGCUUUACACAUGCAAGUCGAACGGCAGCACGGACUUCGAUCUGGUGGCGAGUGGCGAACGGGUGAGUAAUGUAUCGGAACGUGCCCAGUCGUGGGGGAUAACGUAGUGAAGAUUACGCUAAUACCGCAUACGAUCUAUGGAUGAAAGCGGGGGAUCGCAAGACCUCGCGCGAUUGGAGCGGCCGAUAUCAGAUUAGGUAGUUGGUGGGGUAAAGGCCCACCAAGCCAACGAUCUGUAGCUGGUCUGAGAGGACGACCAGCCACACUGGAACUGAGACACGGUCCAGACUCCUACGGGAGGCAGCAGUGGGGAAUUCUGGACAAUGGGCGAAAGCCUGAUCCAGCCAUUCCGCGUGCAGGAUGAAGGCCCUCGGGUUGUAAACUGCUUUUGUACAGAACGAAAAGGUUUCUACUAAUACUAGGAGCUCAUGACGGUACUGUAAGAAUAAGCACCGGCUAACUACGUGCCAGCCGCCGGGGUAA